UUAUUAGAUAAUGAAGAAAGAAGAGCUACUGAUUUUGAACUCCUUUAAAUAAUGGAAAUAUUUUUCUAAUUCUUUAUAUCAGAUUAGUAUAAUGAAGAGCUACUGAUUUUGAAUGCCUUUAAUUGAUGGAAAUAGAAGCAACUAUAAAUAUGAUUACAAUAUAAUGAAGAAAGAAGAGCUACUGAUUUUGAACUCCUUAAAUAAUGGAAAUA